GACAGAGGGUGCAAACGUUGUUCGGAAUUACUGGGCGUAAAGCGCGUGUAGGUGGCGAGGCAAGUCGGUGUGAAAGCCCCGGGCUCAACCCGGGAAGUGCACUCGAUACUGCCGAGCUAGAGUAUCGGAGAGGUUGGUGGAAUUCUCGGUGUAGAGGUGAAAUUCGUAGAUAUCGAGAGGAACACCGGUGGCGAAGGCGGCCAACUGGACGAAUACUGACGCUGAGACUCGAAAGCGUGGGGAGCAAACAGG
rnacentral:rRNA from 1 species